rnacentral:rRNA from 1 species
UACGGAGGGAGCUAGCGUUGUUCGGAAUUACUGGGCGUAAAGCGCGCGUAGGCGGCUUUGUAAGUUAGAGGUGAAAGCCCGGAGCUCAACUCCGGAACUGCCUUUAAGACUGCAUCGCUUGAAUCCAGGAGAGGUGAGUGGAAUUCCGAGUGUAGAGGUGAAAUUCGUAGAUAUUCGGAAGAACACCAGUGGCGAAGGCGGCUCACUGGACUGGUAUUGACGCUGAUGUGCGAAAGCGUGGGGAGCAAACAGG